ensembl:lncRNA
ACCCAUUCUUCUUUAUACAUUGUCCUGUAGCCACAUUUUGAUUGCUUAAAGCUUAUCUUUUAGUAGAUACCUUGGAAUCAAUAGCUGUCUUUAUAAAUCAAUUUUUAAUAAAAUAUCUUCUCCCAUUGCAUAUCAAGACAAUGGUUUUGAUACACAUUAGUACUUUUAACAAAUAUUCUCAGUUAUUUGUACACAUAUAAAAGACAACAAAAUAAGAAUAAGAAUAAUCAUUAUUUGAAAAUAUAGUAGCAGUAAUAUGACAAAUAUUGUGAGAUCAACUGAUGCAUUGGAUCAAAAUAUCUUUAUAUAUUUUUAUGAAAAUAAUACAGAAUUGUAAGAUAUUUAUACAAAUUAUUCUAAUAUAACAUGUUAUGAGGUAGGGGCUUUGUGGUAAAAAAAAAUAACUCUGGUUUAAAUCUUAGUUGUUUCAUAAGAAUCCACAUUUGAAAUGUGAUUUCAAAAUAAGAGACUCAUUUUCUAUACUCAUAGAAAUAAAGUUUCUAUCCUGGUCUUUUUCUUAGUACAUGGUGUAAAUGGCAUUGAAGACUGUUGUGAUAGUUUUCUAAAUAUAAUGAGCUAAAAUUCACCCAAAAGACUAUGGUACCAAAGCGGAGUAGUCAGAAAUAGAACACUCUAUGAAGGUGAUAGACUGUGGCAUGCAGGGUUCUUCAGUGUGGAAAACAGAGGUAACUUUAGCUAGAUUAAGUAGGAGGAAUUUAUUUCCAGGUAUUAGUAACAUAUCUUUGUAAAGGGUGAAAUAAGAUUAAACUGGAACUUCUUAGAGAUAUUCUCAGAAUCAUUGCAUAACUAACCUGAAAAAGCAGCAAGAUUUCUACCACUGACAUAAGAGGCUUUCAGAGAUGAAAAUCUGUUGGAUGACACGCAGCUUACCCUUUCAAAGUUCCUCAAGGACCCCGGGGAAUGCAGCCAUCUGGAAUUUGCUGUCAUGCUGUGAUUUCUGCAGCAGGUGCACAGGAAACCCAGACAAAGAACUUUACAUUUGAAACUCCUGUGGUUCCCAGAUGGAGGUAUGGAGCCAGGAAACUCCUGCCUUUGAACCAUGCCCCUCACCGACCCAGGAAGAGAAGUCCCUCAUUUUGAUUGUAUUUAAAGCUGAAAAUCUUCAGAACAACCAUGAGCGGCUGUGGAGAACGCAAGCUGGAAGCAAAAAUUAUGAGAUGAAUCUUUCAAGCUAAGAUGUCUCAGAGCUUGCGUGUCAGAAAUCACCAAAGAUAUUGGGGCACAUCCUCUUGCAAUGGCAAGCACUGGGGCAAGGGAGGAGAGCUGACAAAAUACAUAAGCCAUGACAAGCAAACAGAAGAAACAGAAGGUUAACUUAUGGCCAUCAACAAAUUCUAGAGCCACUUUUUAACAGUGUUUAGGCAAUAUGAAGACAUGUGAACCAGAAGUCAUUUUAAGUAGGAAAAUGUGGGAUAAACAACUUUAGCAAUGCUUUAAAUUUAAAUUGCUUAAUCUUAUGUCUGGAAACUUUUAAAUCAAAAAACAUUGUUUAACCUAAAAAACUAAUUGUUACCAUCAAUUAUCAAAUACAGUUUCUCCUCUCAUUUCAUCCAUACAAGCAGUAGAAAAUAAUAGAAGUGCUGUUAUUUUUUUUCAGUUCUAAGGUGUAUAAAUUACAAAUUUUCUGGUUUAACUUUCCUUGUAGCAUAUAUUGUGAAAUCUAGAUUAUAUUUCAUUUGAUGUAUUUUGUUGAUAGAUCAGAGUGACACAAAUGCAGAGAAACAAAAUCUAGAGCCCAUAGAAAUCCUGAAGAGGAGGUUGAAGACUAAGGAUUACAUUAGAGCAUAUCCUACUGGGUAAAUGUUGGAUUCAUAGAGACAGGGAAGAGUGGUAGGAUGUAUAAGCUAAGAGGUUUAAAUAACUCAACGUAACAUUAAUAUAUAUUUUCAGACAUAUAAUAAGUCAAAUUAAGUGCAUUAUGGAGCAUUAUCAUAGCAAGCAGUGCUCACUAGUUUAAACAACCAAUUGUCACAAGUCUUAAGAUAUGUUAUUAUACUUUCAAAUAUUUAAACAUAAUAUUCUCCCAUAAGUUGACUAUACUAGGAGUAUUUUUUAAGAAAAAAAAAUAUUAUUUGAAUCUUAUUCAGUAUGAACAACUAAAAACCAAAUAAUUUUUAAUAAAAAUUAAUAAAUUUGGUAAGGUAGGUAGAUAGAUGUAGAUACAUAUCAAGAAAAAUGGCUUGAAGCAAGUAUUUUGGAUAUGCUCUUACAAUAAAAAUCUUACUAGUAUUUCAUUUCUGUAUUACUUUAUCAACUUCAUUGGAAAAUCAGAACUAUUUAUUCUUGAUAAAAUAUGCUUUUUGUUUUAUGUGAAUACAAACUGAAUUAUAAAGUUACUCAUAAUUUUAGAUUAUCAUAUCUAACUUUCAGUUAAAAUGUUACUUGAAUUCUAACUUAAACUGCAUUUUCAUAUAAUUCAUU